UUAUUAUUUACCUUGAAAUUAAUUAUUUUUCUUUUUUAAAAAAUUUGUGCCUCUUUAAGUGCUAUAACUUAGUUUUAUGCAUACCCAUACACUUCAAUUCAUCAGUUCUGUACAUCUAUCCUAAAACCUUCUAGUUGGAAAUCAUUGAUUAAAUCCAUCCCUGACAUUUACUGCAUAUGGCAGAGUUGUGGUAAGAUUUAAGUGGACACAAUCUAAUUUUUAUUUGUUUCUGAGGGAGCAGUUAGAGUGAACAUUUCUUCCAAGGAUCUCUGAGCAUCAAAACGAGCAAAACUAAAAGAACCAUAAGCAUGCAUUGAAAAUGUGACUCCUCCUUGACUAGAGAGCUAAAAGGAUACUGUAGUCAAAUACAAACUGAAGACAGCCCAAUCAGGGAAAAAAAUUGUGAUUUUCUACCUAACCUUUCCUCUUAAACUGUUUGGGACUAAUUUCUUACAGGCAGUUCUAUUAAACAAAUCUUGGUAAGUAUCUUCCCCCUGAAACGGUGAUUAUAACAGCAAAACAAAUUGUCAGUCAUGGGGCUAUGACAAAUAACAAAAACUUCUAUCAAGUCCCUAAACAGACUGGAGUCAUUAACAUUACAGGCACAACCCUUGGAAAGGGAGCAACUAGGAACAAAGCAGAAUUAUUACCAAAAGAACAAUAAAGUGGUUUAGAUACAUUAAGAUCAAUUAGGCAUUAGUUUUAAUAUAGCCUAAAGUUAAAAGCUGUUAAACAAUCCCAUUUGCAUCAUUUAAAGUUCACAGCCCAAGGAAAAUACCAUGUAUAAAGAAACCAGAGAGCCUUCUGUGAACUGUGUGUCAAUUAUCUAAUUACCUUUGAUAACAUCAGGUGCAAACCUCCAAGGAAAAAGCUUUAAAGAGCUCUUGCAGGUACGUGUGUAUUAGGAGAGUAAUAAGACUUCUUGCAGGGAGAAGAGAAAGAACUGCAUCUUGCAUUGGAAUGAAUGUCCCGUUCCUGGUUGCAAGCAUGUGAGAGAUGAGAGUUACACUACAGUUACUGGAGCAAGAUUAUCAACUCCAAAUGCAGCUUCUCAGCUUGGGAAGAGGGACAGGGAGAUUGGGUGAGUUUCUGCUUUGACUCUUACUUCCAGGCUGAGAUGCUGCCAUGUAUUCCUGCUAGUCAAGGAGAGAAUCCAAGCCUGGCUCCUACCUCCUGGCCUUCCUCCUUCCUCUGCAGUGUCUGUGGAUGGGGAAGAGUGAGAGCACUUUGUGGUCCUGCUCCUUGGGCACCUUCUUGCAGAGAUAGCAGAGCUCUCUGACAGAGGAGGUCAGUGAUAAGAUCUCAGCCUGCAAACACAGCUCCACCUUAGGUGUUGCAUGGGGCAGCUGCCCUUGAAUUCCCACCAUGAAAUGCCUGUGCACCACCAGCUUGGGCAAUAGCUGUGAACAUCUGUGAACAUUAUCUGCUCACUGGUGGUGCUUACAUCCCUGCUUCUCUGACUGGUAAUUCCCUGCACUGGUUGGAAGAAUGUUGCCUGUCUGCACAAUGGGAAUUGCUUUGAGGUCUGGACAAUGUGCUGCCACAGCCAGGUGGGAAGGAGAUAUGUCUGCAUUCCUGGUCAGCACCAGUAUCUGCCUUCUGAUUUUUGAAGGGAAAUUGUAGUUACUUCUUCAGCAGGAAGCUUUGUGACCAGCUGAGCCUUCUCUGUGUUCGUGACAAGAAACCUGCAUUUGUGGCUCUUUAAGAUGGUAUCACCCCGACUCUUCAAGGACUGGGACACACAACUGACAUGAGACCACACCAACCAAAAAUCAGGUGCUCUAAUAACAGCAUGGACUGUCGAGUGCAAGGCAAUUGAGCAAACACAGGAAAAGGAUACACAACAGACAGCGUACCAAGCAAAAAGACAACAGAGGAAGAGAAUGAAAGAGCUGAACCAGAAGUUGGACAAGACAGCACUUCAGAUCUGAAGGAACCAACAAUGGACACCAGGCCUUUAUUAUGUCAAAAGAAAAGAGAAGCUCUUUUUUUUAGCUUGGUUCACAGCUCAUCAGGAUGCUCAUUCCCAGAACCCCUGAGCUUAGACUUGGUGGAAAGUAGGGUCUCAGGUUUCAUCAGUGACAGCCUGGUAUCACCCAAAGUUCUGGAGACAAGUUUGGUCACUGUGAGAAGAUCUUCCUACACCUGCAAGUAGCAGGGAGAAGGCUGUGACACCAGCUUUAGAAAAGAUUCAGGAAAUGAUGCAAGUUAAUUUCUGUUUGAAAUGCUCAGAAAUAUGGCACCUUGGAAAAGGAAAUUUUCCAGAUCUGAGACUGGUCUAUGUAUAUGACUACUCAUACUUUUGUCUGACUCAAAAUACAGGUGAGAGUUUCUUUGAAAAGUGAUUAAAAACAUAUAUUUUACUUUUUAAAUGGCAAAACCAUGCUCAGAAUCAUUCCAAUUCUUCUCAUACUUAAAUGAAACGCCCACGUAACAGACCAUCCCAUCCACUAUUUUAAUGAGUUCUAAAUCUGUCAAGAAUUGUCAACAUUCAUCAGUGUGGAUAUUUUGAGGACUUGUAGGUGCAAAAGAAGUUAAUUUUUUUUAGACAAAAGCAGUAUUAAUAAUACAACAUAAUUUGUAAACAUUGACUGGUACUCAUUAUCAGAAAGGGUAGCUGGAAAAAAAAAUCAUUUUAUAUUUCAAUCUUCCGGACACUGGUAGAAUCCAGACCAGUGCAAAAUAAUGAGCUUGCUUACUGUUGCUGUGUGGGAAAAGAGAAGAGGAGCUAGAGGUGAGACUGCAGGAAUAAAACAGACUAAGUAGGCAUGACAGGAGUAUGGGGGCUAAGUGUAAUGACAGGAACUUCAUAACACAUUCUUCAUAAAAGUGACAGGAAAAGCAAAGGAGGCGAACAGCACUCUGCCAAAAGCAUCUAUUCAAAUGCUGAAAUAAAGAGGGAUAAUUUUUGGUAGGACAUGCAUGGCUAAACUGCUGGCUUAAAAAAAAGAAGGAUAAUUGAGAAUUACAGGAAGAAUGGUACUAAAGACUGGAGAUCAUGAACACAAAACAGUGAAGAUUUAGCAAUCAUAGUCUAAGUUGCAAAAGCAUAUAUUAAGUACUCCCUAGAGGCACUUAUUUGAUUAAAGUACUUUUAAAACAAUCUCAGAAAUUAAGAAGAAUUUAAAAUCCUGUACUUUAGUUCCUUUUUGUCAGCUCUGAGGUUAAAUAUUCAUGCGUUGUAAAUAUUUAGGGCAUAACUUAAUAUUCAUCAUAAUGUAUGCCAAACUGUGCCCUUUGGAUUAUUCCUAGCAGUGACCACCUCCUUAAUCCAAAAUCUCUCUUCAAAUCCUUAAAUGCUGGGAAUGCUGUCAGAAGGGAGUAUGAGUUUAACUUAAAGUGAGGGAGAUCUGGUCAGGCAUCUUCAGCCACACGUUGAGUUCCCACCUUCACAGAUGAAAACUGGAGAAGGUGUGUCUUGGGUUCCACCAGGACACCCCAGCACUCUGAUAUGCAGUACUAGUAAAUCUGCUGGUAGGGCUAAGACACUG